GAUGAAGAACGUAGCGAAAUGCGAUAACUAAUAUGAAUUGCAGAAUUCAGCGAAUCAUCGAGUUUUUGAACGCACAUUGCGCCCUCUGGUAUUCCGGAGGGCUUGUCCGACCGAGCGUCGCUACACCGCCCAAGUCUCCAACUUGGUGUUGGGACCUGCGAGGAGCCCUCCGCGGCCCUCGCAGCCCCGAAAUGCAGUGGCGGCCCCCAGCGCGGCUUUUCCUUAGCGCAGUAAAGUUUUCACACUACGCUUCGGGACGCCUGGGACGCCUGCCUAAAACAGCAGACCUCUCUUCCCGAGAGUCGCUCACCUCCUUAGGUUGGCCUCGGGUCGGACAAGAUUACCCGCUGAACUUAAGCAUAUCAAUAAGCGGAGGA
rnacentral:misc_RNA from 1 species